rnacentral:lncRNA from 13 species
GGAAGAUGUUCGUACGACCAGUGUCACGGCAGUAGGAGAAGUCACCUGUCUGGUCGUUGACAGAGAGUCAUUCAUGCAUCUGAUUGGAGGGCUGGAUGAUGUCAACAGCAGACAGAAUGAGAAUGAUGAGCUCAACACCAAGUUGGAGGCAGAGGCAGGGUUUUUCUCCAGUGUGUCUCUCACUGAUUUCCACGUCAUCUGCACCCUCGGGCUAGGAGGCUUCAGUCGCGUCCAGCUGGUAAGUGUGAGUGUGUGUGUAUAUAAUGUGUGUGUGCUUACAUUAGUGUGUGUCUGUAAUGCCUGCGUGUGUGUGUGUUUCAUUUGUAUAGUGUGUGUCUUCAGGUUCAGUUAAAGAGUGACACCAGUCGGUCCUUUGCUCUGAAGGUUCUAAAGAAGCGUCACAUUCUGGACACUAGCCAACAGGGCCACAUCCUCUCAGAGAGACGCAUCAUGAUGGGUGCACACCGCCCCUUCACCGUCAGUCCAUACACAGAGACACAUACACUAUAGAUCACCUU